rnacentral:rRNA from 1 species
GACGAACGCUGGCGGCGUGCUUAACACAUGCAAGUCGAACGGAAAGGCCCUGCUUUUGUGGGGUGCUCGAGUGGCGAACGGGUGAGUAACACGUGAGUAACCUGCCCUUGACUUUGGGAUAACUUCAGGAAACUGGGGCUAAUACCGGAUAGGAGCUCCUGCUGCACGGUGGGGGUUGGAAAGUUUCGGCGGUUGGGGAUGGACUCGCGGCUUAUCAGCUUGUUGGUGGGGUAGUGGCUUACCAAGGCUUUGACGGGUAGCCGGCCUGAGAGGGUGACCGGCCACAUUGGGACUGAGAUACGGCCCAGACUCCUACGGGAGGCAGCAGUGGGGAAUAUUGCACAAUGGGCGGAAGCCUGGUGCAGCAACGCCGCGUGCGGGAUGACGGCCUUCGGGUUGUAAACCGCUUUCGCCUGUGACGAAGCGUGAGUGACGGUAAUGGGUAAAGAAGCACCGGCUAACUACGUG